rnacentral:rRNA from 1 species
UAGGGAAUCUUCGGCAAUGGACGAAAGUCUGACCGAGCAACGCCGCGCGAGUGAAGAAGGUUGUCGGAUCGUAAAACUCUGUUGUUAGAGAAGAACAAGGACGUUAGUAACUGAACGUCCCCUGACGGUAUCUAACCAGAAAGCCACGGCUAACUACGUGCCAGCAGCCGCGGUAAUACGUAGGUGGCAAGCGUUGCCCGGAUUUAUUGGGCGUAAAGCGAGCGCGGGCGGUUUCUUAAGUAUGAUGUGAAAGCCCCCGGCUCAACCGGGGAGGGUCAAUGGAAGCUGGGAGGCUUGAGUGCAGAAGAGGAGAGUGGGAUUGCGUGUGGAGCGGUGGAAUGCGUAGAUGUAUGGAGGAAGACGGGUGGCGAAGGCGGCUCUCUGGUAAAUAACUGACACUGAGGCACGAAAGCGUGGGGAGCAAACAGG